GGGCCUGUGCCCCCCCCCAGAUCACAGCUAGGUGUGUAAACUGGAUAUGCCUAUUGUGUGGUUUCUGUGUCUUUUUUUAAGGCCUGGGGGGUAUACCACGAACCUCGCUAAACAUACUCAGGCUUUCUUGGGAAAGCCUGGCUCAACAGAGACGCAACUGGCAAUCAGAGUUAAAUGGUACCACGACACUCACUUUAGAUUCAAUAAGUCGAACCAGGUUUUCCGCUUUAGGUUCAAUGCGCGUUCACAUAAAAGGGGCGUUUAUCGCGUCAUUUGAGUCACCCUUAUCCAAAAUGAAUCGAGCGAGAGCGGUGUAUUACACCCAAGACGAGCAUUGUAUUAUUAUGAAUUACUACGAGGAAUUCAAAGUCCAAAUCACAGCCAAGGGGAACACGGUUGCCCAUAAUAAGGCUAGGGUGGCGUGCUGGCAGAAAUAGCCGACCGUGUUAAUUCGUAAAUGAAAAGAUUAUGCAUAUUGUCUAAAAAAUAGUCAAAAUAAAUAAAUAAAAAUAUAUAUUUUAUAAAUAUAAAAAUAUUAUUCAAUGUGGUAAGUUGUAAGCAUCCAUUUGAAUAAUUUCAGGUGAAUCAAGCCUAUGAUUUGCAAUGGCCUAGGCUCAGACCUUUAAUCUUAUGUUGAUUACCUGUAGCAAAUAAAAAGAGAACCCAAAUGAAUACGACUGGGAGGGGGACUGCUCCACCGCCCUUCCCCACUUCGGAGGAGCUGGCUCUCACCAAUAACGAAGGUCGGUCGAUGAUGGUGGGAGUGGAAGGGGGGAUGUCCUCUGACCCCACUGCCUCGACAUCCAAGGCGUUUGUAAUGAUUGAUGGCACAAACAUUAUUUUGGAGGAGCCGCCGACAAUCAAUCUCCAAUCAGAUGGAGACUCUGUCUGCCUGUGACUCCAGGGCGACUAUGGAGAUGAAGGAGCUGAUGCAGCAGACGGAUUGAAACUACAUUUUACCGGACCAGUGACCUUAUUUGAAUUCCCUACACCAUGUUUUAGCCCUGCUAUUGUUUCUUCGUACACCUUUAGCUGGGGAGGCUCUUUAACGGAAGGACUAAAUCAACGAGUGCCUAAUCUUGAUGAGCUCUGACUCUAUACUCAGGAAACGUGAACUAUAGCCAAACCUUACCCAAAUGGGUCCCUUGCCCUUUACCCUCUAAAGGUUCCUCCUCUUCCCCACUGAGGCCCCUGUACUCAAUGCCUUAAUGUUUCAAGAUUAUUGUGGCGAGAAGGAUGAGACGGGAGCCCAAGUUUAGCAGUUUGCUGCAGUUCCGCGCCCCAUACGCGGCACGACUACAGACU
ensembl:lncRNA